GCUUGGGUAAUGGAUUAAGGAGGACAGACUGAGCGAGGAAGAGGAAAUCCAAUGCACAGAAACCAGGCUGGCUGGAAACAUCCAGUGUUGACAGAGUUUUCGGCAAUCGCAGGAAAAGGCCCCCUGCAAGAAAUUAUCAGGACAAAGUUGAAGGGGCACCAAGAUUUUGGAUCCAGUGGUGACUAUUUGUUGGUUUAUAUGCUGCCUCUCCAGCAUGGAGUCUGUCUGCAUGCACCAUGCUUCCCGCCUGACGAUAACGG